rnacentral:lncRNA from 1 species
GCCUCGGGGGACUAGUCCCCAAGGGGGAAGCUGGGCACCCCGCAGAAAGUUCACGCGCCGGACCGCAGUGGGUCCCGGGAGCCGCCGCAAGCCUGGGCGGGGAGGGGCGCGGGAGGCGCGGCCCGGGCGGGCGCGCGAGAGGAAGGUGCCUUCGGGAGCACGCGCAAGGGCGGGGAUUCGCGCUGCCAAUGAGGCCCCGGUGUGGGCCGUGCGAGGCGGGGGGACGGGCCGGAGCGCAGCCUGAGCUGUGGCAGCUGCGGGAGCAGCGGCCGCUUUGGGAGCUGGCGGAGAGGCAGCCGCGGAGCGCAGAGCUGGCCGCGCCCCGAGGCCCGGCCCUAGCGGUGGGGAACCUCACCGAGGGGCUGGAAACUUUCCCGUUCUCUUCCCAGCUUUCUGUGGUCACAGAGGAACUUUCUGGGUGCCCCCCGAGUAAGACAGCGUCUCUCUGUUGCCAGCAAGUAGAGUCUGGGGUGAAGCGAGAAGUGAAAGAGUGUUGA